CUUGCUGGGUGGAUUAGUGGCGAACGGGUGAGUAACACGUGGGUGAUCUGCCCUGCACUUCGGGAUAAGCCUGGGAAACUGGGUCUAAUACCGGAUAGGACCUCGGGAUGCAUGUUCCGGGGUGGAAAGGUUUUCCGGUGCAGGAUGGGCCCGCGGCCUAUCAGCUUGUUGGUGGGGUAACGGCCCACCAAGGCGACGACGGGUAGCCGGCCUGAGAGGGCGACCGGCCACACUGGGACUGAGACACGGCCCAGACUCCUACGGGAGGCAGCAGUGGGGAAUAUUGCACAAUGGGCGCAAGCCUGAUGCAGCGACGCCGCGUGAGGGAUGACGGCCUUCGGGUUGUAAACCUCUUUCAGUACCGACGAAGCGCGAGUGACGGUAGGUACAGAAGAAGCACCGGCCAACUACGUGCCAGCAGCCGCGGUAAUACGUAGGGUGCGAGCGUUGUCCGGAAUUACUGGGCGUAAAGAGCUCGUAGGCGGUUUGUCGCGUCGUCUGUGAAAACCCGCAGCUCAACUGCGGGCUUGCAGGCGAUACGGGCAGACUUGAGUACUGCAGGGGAGACUGGAAUUCCUGGUGUAGCGGUGAAAUGCGCAGAUAUCAGGAGGAACACCGGU
rnacentral:rRNA from 2 species